rnacentral:rRNA from 1 species
CUGGUUGAUCCUGCCAGUAGUCAUAUGCUUGUCUCAAAGAUUAAGCCAUGCAAGUCUAAGUAUAAGCAUUUAUACUGUGAAACUGCGGAAAGCUCAUUAUAUCAGUUAUAGUUUAUUUGAUGGUAAACCCACUACAUGGAUAACCGUAGUAAUUCUAGAGCUAAUACAUGCCCAGAAACGGUGACUUCGGAAGCCGUGGACUUAUUAGAUCAAGAGCCAACCCUCUUCGGAGGAAUAAGCUGAAUCAUAGUAAUUUUGCUAAUCGCAUGGUCUUGUACCGGCGAUGGGUCAUUCAAAUUUCUGCCCUAUCAGCUGUGAUGUUAGUGUAGUGGACUAACAUGGCAUAAACGGGUGACGGAGGAUUAGGGUCUGAUUCCGGAGAGGGAGCCUGAGAAAUGGCUACCACUUCCAAGGAAGGCAGCAGGCGCGUAAAUUACCCAAUCCCGACACGGGGAGGUAGUGACAAGAAAUAACAAUACCGGAUCUUUUUAGAUCUGGUAAUUGGAAUGAGUACAACUUAAAAUCCUUAACAAGGAACAAUUGGAGGGCAAGUCUGGU